rnacentral:sRNA from 1 species
GCCGGGCACGGUGGUGCACACCUGUAAUCCCAGCAGUCAGGAGGCUGAGGCGGGAAGAUCGCAAGUUCAAAGCCAACCUCAGCAACAGUGAGGUGCUAAGCAACUCAGUGAUACCCUGUCUCUA